UAGUACUGGUAGCAACUGUUUAAUCUGCGAUCAGUAAUUCUAUUAAAAUUUUUUGGUUAAGGAUUGGGUUCUUUGUGGGUAGAAGUGGGAACUGGGGGGCGUGAAUAGUGUAUUUGGCAGGGAGGAAAAUAAAUUAAAUGAUCCCCUUAUUUACGAAGAAUUAACCACCUAAAAUUCUCUUGUAAGGUAUGUUGGAGGCAGUGGCGGACUGGCCAGGACAUUAAGUCUAAU